UACGUAGGUUCCGAGCGUUGUCCGGAAUUAUUGGGCGUAAAGGGCUCGUAGGCGGUUUGUCGCGUCGGGGGUGAAAACACGGGGCUUAACCCCGUGCCUGCUUCCGAUACGGGCAGACUAGAGGUAUGCAGGGGAGAACGGAAUUCCUGGUGUAGCGGUGAAAUGCGCAGAUAUCAGGAGGAACACCGGUGGCGAAGGCGGUUCUCUGGGCAUUACCUGACGCUGAGGAGCGAAAGUGUGGGGAGCGAACAGG
rnacentral:rRNA from 1 species